UACGAAGGGGGCUAGCGUUGCUCGGAAUCACUGGGCGUAAAGCGCACGUAGGCGGCUUCUUAAGUCAGGGGUGAAAUCCUGGAGCUCAACUCCAGAACUGCCCUUGAUACUGAGGAGCUCGAGUCCGGAAGAGGUGAGUGGAACUCCGAGUGUAGAGGUGAAAUUCGUAGAUAUUCGGAAGAACACCAGUGGCGAAGGCGGCUCACUGGUCCGGUACUGACGCUGAGGUGCGAAAGCGUGGGGAGCAAGCAGG
rnacentral:rRNA from 1 species